rnacentral:misc_RNA from 1 species
GCCCAGUAUUCCACGUCGCUCGCGUCAACAACUCGUACGCGUAGGGCAACGUAACACCGAGCCAUGAGGGGAAUUAUUUGGAAUCAAGGGCACAGAACCGGGGAAACUUUCCCAGCUAGAAGCUCCUCGUCGGACCGUUGGAACCCCCUACGUUAAAUGGGCAAAUCGAGGCAUUACAUUCCAAGGGCUCGGAUCGUGCAUAGCAUAAAAUUUUGGAAAAACGGUCGAAAACGGGAGCUUUGGAGAGGGGCAACUCGAUGACGGGGGAGGGUUUUGAACGGCGAACUUGACGGAAUAGGUCGAAGGCGACCGAAUACCAGGGCAUAUUGAUCGUGACGCGUUACAGGCUAAAAUACUGUACGCCCCGAUGAACGGAAACCAGGCAGUUGGCAGAGCUUAACGUUACCAUACAGGUAUACCAUAAUUGGGGC